UAAGUACUCCCUCCGUCCCAAAAUUCUUGUCUUAGAUUUGUCUAAAUACGGAUGUAUCAAGUCACGUUUUAGUAUUAGUUCAUCCGUAUCUAGGCAAAUCUAAGACAAGAAUUUUGGGACGGAGGGAGUAAUAA
rfam:Triticum aestivum genome assembly, contig: Triticum_aestivum_CS42_TGACv1_scaffold_223260_3B